AUUCAGCCUUAUCCACGAGGACUGUCAUUGCAUCUCUGAGAGACCUCCGAGAUUGAAAAUUCCUUUGGUACUCUAUGUUGACUUCCAUUUAUUUCCAUCUGAAUCGUAUGCAGGAGAUCUCGGAACUUUUUACUAUACAAAGAAACUGUCAAAAUCAGUUGUAACGAGAUCCCGGCGACUUUUAGGUAGCUAAAAAAUGGAAAAGACUCAGGUGAAUAUAAUAUUACACUUGAUAAAAAAAUAAAUGUAUGUGGGUUCCAAUUUUUGGCCAAUUUCAGCAGAUUUCAUCUGGUAACACUGGUUUUGUUUGACAGCUACGCAAGUGCUUAAAUUCAUCUUUGAAUUUUACUAUCGACACUCAUAAUUGGUUAUUAAUGAAUUUUGAUCUUAUCAUUUAAUUUUGAAAUACGAUAUAGUAUGGAGAUUACGCAAAUUACGUGAAGCCAUCUGCUCAAUUUAAUGGAAAGGUUCACUGCCAUCCAUUCCGUUGUGAUCGGAACGCGACGCGGCUAACCGGACGCAGCCGGCGGCGGCGUCCUGCAUACUCGAACCACUAUGUAGAUGGAACAGCAUUACUAGGUGUAGCUAUGGUUAUGUAUGUUGUUUGUGUCCAAGCGCACAGUGCAACGCGCGGCCCUGACGCGCCCGCGACCGAUGCGCACCGAUGUAAACACCAAGGAAGGUCAACCGCCUUGCAUUCAACGCAUCCUACUACUCUGAAGCUUUUUGAAGUCGUCGGAUAACUACACUUAUGUAUGCUUUCAAAAUAAUAAAAGUUCUAUCAUAUCAUAUAAAUGUCUUAACUUACCGUAUCAUUAUUACUAAUAUUAGGCAUUAAUGCAAGAUUAUUACUUCUGUGCCUUAAUAGCUUAAACAAUCGUCUUGUUUAUCCUAUAUAUAUAAGAAUUCCGAGCUUUCGUAUGUUAUGUACGCUUGUGUAUUAGGUAUGUAUUAUAUUUCUUUAUGUAACAUUCUGUAAUAUAAAGAAUAUAUAUUCUAGUAUUAUUUCGAUCUAUUACAUACUGUAUCACAGAACCACUUUUCCUAAGCAGGAUGUUUUAAAACUACGAGUAGAUAUCUAUAUAUGUGUAAAUAAAUAUGAUUAUUGAUUAAUGCUGAAAUGGCUGAAUCUAAUAAAAUUAGUAUAAAACAACUUAGAUUUAAUAUUGACUAAAAUUUAUUCUUUUGGGUGUACUGACGGAGUAAGAAUAGGAAGUUUCCAAUACAUGGGAUAUUCAUGAAUGUUGUAAGAUUUUUGGAUUGAUCAAUUUUUAAUAUUUCAUAUAAUAAAUAUAGUUUAUUUUCAUGGUUACUAUUACGUAAUUUUGCUUUUCGUUAUACCCAUCAAAACUAAUCCCAUGUAAAUUUCAGUUAAGUGCACAAAAUACUUCACUGAAUUGUUAAUAG